rnacentral:rRNA from 1 species
GAUGAACGCUGGCGGCGUGCCUAAUACAUGCAAGUAGAGCGAACAGACGAGAAGCUAGCUCCCUACACGAUAGAGGCGGACGGGCGAGUGAGACGUUGAUAACCUACCUAUAAGACUGGGAUAGCUUCGGGAAAACGGAACUAAUAACCGAUAAUAUAUUGAUAUGCAUGGUUCCAUAGUGAUAGACGGAUUUACUGUAUCUCAUCGCUAGAUCAGCGCCGCAUUAGCUAGUAGGUAAGAUAACGGGUAACGAAGGAAAUGAUGCGUAACCGACCUGCGAGGGUGAUCGGCCACACUGGAACUGGGAAACGGUCCAGACUCCUACGGAAGGCAGCGGUGGGGAACCUUCGGAAUUGGGCGAAAGCCUGACGGGGCAACGCGGCUGGGUUGAGAAAGUUCUUCGGAUCUUAAAACUCGGUGAUUAGGGAGGAACAAUUUGGGAAGUAACUGUGCACGUCUUGACGGUACCUAAUCAGAAAGCCACGGCUAACUACGUG